GUGCGACAGGCAUUGAGGCAGCGAGCGCAGAGAUGGCUUUAGGAUGGAGAUGCUGCUUGAGGAGCCCGCAGAUAAGUUUUUCUAUUAAAAAAGAUAGGCGUUAGUGUAUUUCUUUAGGGAUUAUAAGUAGUGAAAAUACGGAGAUACUGCUUUGCAUUAAGUUCUUAGAUAAAUUUUAGGGAAAAUAUGAAGACUUAAAGAGUAGUUGGAGAAAGGAAGAGGGAAGAAAAAAGAUAAUUUUAGAACCUGAUGGAGGUUAAGAGCUGAAAUUUUUUCAUGGAGUGAAAAAUUUAAAAGAAUUGAUGAGCUAGGACUGCAAUGUCUGGAUUUUUUUUUUAAAGCCUUAACUUGAAGGGCAACCUUUUACCUUAACAUUAAAACGUUGGGUUACGUAAAUCGAACCUAAACGUUUUAAAAGGUUGAGUUGUAGGUGAUUAAAAUACUACAAAGGCCAUCUUAAGAUUUAACUGAAGGUGGUUUCAGAAAUAAUGCCUUCAAAUUCACGGCGCAGUAAAAAUGGCGUCAUUUGAAGCCUGCUUGAUACUAAGGCUUUGUUUGGCUAAAGUUGACGGAAAUAUUAGGAAUGGUAGGAAAGAAAAUUGGAAGUUUGAAGUGGAAAAUUCGGAAGACAGAAGUACAGGAAGGUGAAGAAAAAACUAGAGAAGAUAAGAGAUACACGUUUUAGAAGACAAAACCUGAGCCUAGUAAGUAGGCAGAAAAAGACAAAUCUAGGAGAAAAUUGAAAAUACGGUCGAGUGCUUAAGAUAGAAUGAAAAGAAAGCUAUUGGACGCAAACAUACAAGAUAGACGUCCAAAAAUUUAGAUAGUUCAAAAUCAAUAAUGUUGGAUAAAUUACAGGAACAAAAACUAAGGAAAUUUUUAUAGCCAAUAAGAAUUUAUUGUAAAAGCCCAUCAACUUAUCUCUGGUGGUGCAAAAGUUAGAUCUCAGAAGAUGAGGGUUUUUUUUUUUAAAACUACUGUAGACCAGGACCAACUUAGAAGAAAAUCCGGAAACUAGGAGAGUCAAUUUAAAAUCUCAGCAAAAAGUUACUGAAGGGGACUGAAGUAACUUAAAAGUUAAGAAUGUAUUUGGGAGAGUUAAAAAUCUGAAAGGCCUUAAAUGCGGUAGCGUAGUUUCCUUUGGAAAAUGUAAAGGACUUUGUAAGUGAAUUAAAUUGAAGAGCAAGAAUAACCAUCGAGUUAUUGGACUUUGAGCUAAGAUGAAUGUUUAAAUCCUGAGGACUAGGCGCUAAAUAACAGCUGACGCAGGUGCUACGCAGAAGUGGAUUCAGUGAAGCUAGGAAGACAGGAGCGGCAGACAGGAUUCGGAGCCAGUGUUGGUGAAAACUAGGACUGAGGAGCCAGCGGCAGUUCGUGAAGAUAGGAAAGAGAAGCCCGGGAGCCAGUGCGACUUGGUGAAGGAAGCUAGGAAGAAGGAGCGAGUCCUAACGAUUUGGAGGUGAAGCUAGGAGAGGAUUCCAGGAAGGAGGAAGCCAGUGCGGUGUGGUGAAGCUAGCGUGCGGCUUGGCUUGGCAACCACGCGGAGGCGGCGAGCAGGCGGAGUGGAGGAUAGAUAGAGGAUCCUAGAGCAGCAGACCAGUGUACGAGCCCCGCAGGGAGAGCCAGUGGUGUGGUAAAAAUCCGUGAAGUCGGCACUAUCGUGGGUUUUUUUUCCUCCUGUAACUCAGUAUGGUAAUAUCUCUUAUUAAAUUUUCCUAAUAGUAAUGGGGGAGUUGUGUACUUAAGCAUAAAGGGGAUUUUAUUACGGGGAUGUAGGCCGGUUUUCGGGUGUCGUAGGUUUCUCUUUUUCAGGCCUAUUUUCUCAUGCAUCUUGUCUGGAGCUUUUGAGGGCAGACUUCAAGGCCCGGAGGAAUGGUAGAUGGCAAGUGUUCUUGUUUUUAACCAAUAUGAGGGAUGUCCUGAAUUUGGUAGAACAACUGUGAGACAACUUCAGCAAGCUUUGUAAACAGGUUUUAUAUUCAGUUUGGGGGUAAUGAAGCAUUUCAGUUUCGUGAGUAGAGGGCCUACUUUUCUUUCCUCACCCUGUAUUUUAAAAGUCUUCUAAAUAUGUAGUUUCGGUGUAUAAUUCUGGGCGGGGGGAGUUUUUUUGGGGGGGGGAGCAAAAUAUGUUUUGAGUUCUUUUCCCUUUAGGUCUGUCUAGAAUUCCAAAGGCAAAUGACUCGAGGUAACAGGCGAAAAGAAAAUCCAAUAUCAGGAUAAUCAGAACACUGCAGGUUUACAGUUAUAGAAACUCUAGCACAAGCAGCUUUCACUUUGAGGUCUGUGGCGCAGCUGUCCAUUGGAGUAAUGGCUGGUAGUUUAUUCUUUUUUUCCCCACCCCUUUAUUAAAUAUUUUUAUAAAGUACGUAACUGGUUAUUUUUACUUAAAUAUUUUGGGGUGGUGUGAACAGGGAAGAGGGUGGGGGAGAAACUUUUUUUUUCUAAGAUUUUCCACAGAUUCUAUAGUACUAUUGACAAUCUGAGUUAGAGAAGGAUUGUACUGCUACGCUGUUUGGCACCAACACCUUCAGGGAUUGGAGCAGCUUUUUUCCUUGGAAGAGUAUUCCCAGUGAAGCUGAAAUGUACAGCCCAGUGCAGCUUUGGUUCAUAUUCAGUCAUCUCAGGAGAACUUCAGAAGAGCUUGACUAGGCCAAAUGUUGAAGGAGCUUCAGAGCAAAGGAGGUGGCUUAAUGAUCCUGAAGGGAUUUCUUCUGGUGGUAGCUUUUGUAUUAUCAAACAGGUUUUUCUUCAUUAUCAGAAGAGUUGCUUCAUUUCAUCUGGGAGCAGAAAACAGCAGGCAGCUGUUAACAGAUAAGUUUAACUUGCAUCUGCAGUAUUGCAUGUUAGGAAUAAGUGCUUACCUUUGUGAAGAGCUGUGGAAGUCCUAG
ensembl:lncRNA